UCUUGUCAUCGCCUCUCUCUCUCUCUCUCUCUCUCUCCCCUUCCUCCUCCCCGUCCUCCCCUUUUUCUCUGGUUUUGUGAUUUUUUCAGAUCUACUCUUCUAUUUUGUUGCUGUGUCGAAUCCGUAUUCGGAUUCUGUUAGAUCGGUCGACGAUCUACGCAGCGAUGGUGGUUUCGAUGGUUCGAAGCAGAUCUCUUUCGGUGAUUCUGUUUUCUGCGAUCUUCGCGAAUUGCCGAUCGAUAUGGUGUGAUCUGACACGAGGAUUGGUUUUGAUUCAAGAAUUCGGCUCUUGAUUUACGAUGGCGGUUGAGAUUGAAGAAUUGUGGUAUACUUCUUUGCAGAUCUGCCAUGGACUUGCUGACGAUAGAUACGAUCCACGACAAGGACCUCGAGGUAUUAUGUAUUUAUGUGUAAAAAGUUUCUUAUCUUUUUGUUGCUAGAUGGUUUGGAUCUGUUGUUGUUCGGCUCCGUCGUUGUAGAUCUGGGUUCUUGUUGCUACAGGCAUGGCGAUUUGGGGAUCUUCCUUGUAUUUUCACAUCGAUCCAAGGUGAUGCUGUUUCAAGAUCUAUGUCGAUACAAGUCGAUGCCAAGUAAUGGCUUUUUCGACGCUGGCUGGAUUGUUGAAUUGAAGGAAUCAGUUUGAGGAUGUAACUGGAUAUCAAAGGAGGUAGUUUGUUGUUUACUCUGAAGAUUCAUGGAGCGAUUUCUGAGGGAUUUCUUGUGAACGGUGUAAAAGACCUCGGGACAGAAAAAACCUAAUUUUAUUAGGUUCUAAUGUCUCGAUUGUUCUUUGUCAUCCGGCCUUUGCCAUGACAGGUGCGCUUGCAUGGCAGGUCACAAACUUUAAUAAAAAAUUAUUUUUUUUGUUUUUGGGGGAGAUCGCACGGGGUUUUUGCCCGGGAUCUCUCCCCUGGUGUGGUGUUGUGUGUCGUGCGUGUUCAAUUUUUUUGCUUAUUUUUAUCUUUCCCGACUGAAUUCUGCACCGUCAACAUAACUAUGACGGACAUCAUCAGCAAAUAGUCAAAUAUGAGAGCAAGGUGUUCUACACAACUGAUAAGCAGGCAAAAAGUGAUCGAUGCAAUGGGAGCUUUGCUACCAUCACCUUUUUUGGGUUAUUCAAAGCUUCGGUUGAUCUGGUUGACGUCAGCAAAUCAGAUGUUUAUAAUGAAAAGCUAGAAAGGGUUCACAAGCUGCUGCUGCUGCUGCAAGUGAAAUGAAGCUGUGAUCUGGUUCUUGUUUGCAAAUCAGAUGAUUUGUACCAUCAUUGGAGCUGGAGCGUGGGUUCAAAGCUGCUGGAAGUGUGGAACGGGUGGAAUGAAGAGAUGCUGUGGGGGGCUUUAAGAGAUUCAACGGUCUUCUAAUGGUACAUUCCGAAUAUAUCUUCUGUUGAUCCGUGCGUGCUUGUUAUCAUCAAUGUGGUCAUGGAAAUGUGCUGUGUUAAUGCCACACCAUUCUCUACCUUUGUGGGGGCCCUAUGUGUGACUUGGUUCUACGCACUGGUGCACUGGAUAUUGUUUUUGUCCUGUCUUGUUAUGUCAUGGGAGCAACUGUUCUGGAUCAUGUCUUCGGAGCUUAAAUCUUUUUAUCACAAUGUUGCUUUGCUGCUCAGUUCAUUACUAGCUUCAUCAUUUGCGUAAUUGUUUCACUGCAAGCUUCCUCGUUUGCCUGCCUGAGGUGACGAGAAAAUCUGGGAUUCUUAUCAUCAGACUUAAUUUGCCUUGUUAAUCAGAUAAGUGGUACUGUAUUUUUAGCAUACGGGCUGAUUCAAUUAUUGGCCAUCAGCAUUUUUAGCAAUUAUUAUAGUGGUAAUCAUUCUUUUAACUUCUUGGUUUUGUAAUUUAUUCUGUUUUAACUCUCGCCGUGGCAUUUGUGGUAGGGAACGUAUAAACAUUUUAAUUGAUUUGCUUGAUAUA